rnacentral:rRNA from 1 species
CUACGGGAGGCUGCAGUGGGGAAUAUUGCACAAUGGAGGAAACUCUGAUGCAGCAACGCCGCGUGGAGGAUGACACUUUUCGGAGCGUAAACUCCUUUUAUAUAGGAAGAAGAUGACGGUACUAUAUGAAUAAGCGCCGGCUAACUCCGUGCCAGCAGCCGCGGUAAUACGGAGGGCGCAAGCGUUACUCGGAAUCACUGGGCGUAAAGAGCGUGUAGGCGGAUUAAAAAGUCAGAGGUGAAAUCCUAUAGCUUAACUAUGGAACUGCUUCUGAAACUCUUAAUCUAGAAUAUGGGAGAGGUAGAUGGAAUUUCUGGUGUAGGGGUAAAAUCCGUAGAGAUCAGAAGGAAUACCGAUUGCGAAGGCGAUCUACUAGAACAUUAUUGACGCUGAGACGCGAAAGCGUGGGGAGCAAACAGGAUUAGAUACCCUCGUAGUC